AACCAAAGUACGGCAGCAUAUAAAUCGAUCUUCUCAGUGUAUAUUGUUUCCUUCCUCCGGCAGCGUUCGAUGUCUGGUUCUCGCAGUCCGGCGUUCUAAACCCUAAAAAGUUGUCCAGAUUCGUCACCACCAGUUACUCGAAUCUGGAAGGCUGGAUCCAAGAAAGUGGUAGCACACGAUACUGUCUGGUGGUGAUAGUGACGAUAUCAGUGAGGGAUGUGUGACUAAGAGUGUAUCAUGUAUUCUGAAUUGGUUUUGCUGAAAUCUUUGCAUCUGACAUUUCUUGCUGAAUUUGUCUGCUUCUGUUUGGUGCGAGGCUCAGUUGAUCGUAUUCCAUCUCUUUGACAUACAUCAGGAGUUUCUCGUAAGGCAAGGAUCCUCGAUUUGCAUAUCUCGCAGAUGGCACGAUCUAUCAUCUAUGCACAAGCUUUGAAUGAUGGCAAAAGAAACUGUGUUUGUAAUCCGUGUGGUGGUGGAUUCUAUUAGGUGUUCAUUAUCUUCAGGGAGGAGGAGCCAAUCAGGUUGUAUUUGGUAUGCAUGCAUAUAUUGUAUGUACUAGCUCAGACAAUCGCUGAAAUAUAGUCACCGUAUGACAGAGUUGUUCUUGCUCGUGACACAUGCACUUCUGCCACUUCAGUUCCCUGAAACUGAGGAGCCAAUUGAGUAAUCUGUCAAACCUGUAUUUAUAAUGAACUUUGCAACGACUAUCGAACCACUUUGAGAAAAUUGGAAGAGUUGUUGUCAACUACUCAACUGCGUACACAUAUAUUACCAUGAGUUUCUUUCGUA